CAUCGCGAGAAGAAAAAUACCGGAAGUCAGGUACGUUACCGGAUGUGUACAUCAGGCACACGGAGAAGAAAUUUGUGAAUGCCAAAGUGUGCUGUGACUGCUGUCCGACCACAAGAGUCUCCUAUCUGACUGCACCUAUGUCUGUUGUCCAACCUGUCUGUGAAUGCAGGAGGCAACAAGUAGUUCGGGAGGCACCAAUGAUAGCUGAUUUCAAAACAAGGUGGCCUGCUCUCUUCCAUGUGCAUGAGGCAGAGUUCAAGGGGGGCGGAUCAGAAGCAUCAUGGUAGCCAUGACUGAGAUCCAGAGAAGCUGGUGAAAGAAAACCUGAUCCAGAGAAGCUGGUGAAAGAAUACCUGAGCGAUGAUAAAAGCAGUCUGGAGGCUAUGGCAGAGACGGUCUUUGGAGUCUUUGUCAUUCGACACAACGGUGCAGGGCCCAGUGAGAACCCAGAGGAUGUCAGAAUUCUUCUGGAGGGUGUAAAGGUGUUGCAUGAGUUGAGGUAUGUGCCUUUUGCAGUGGCAGAGUUGCUUGCGCUUGUGUAUGCUCUAAACCGUAGCUACCCCAGAGAGCUAAAAUACACCU